AGGAUGAUCAGCCACACUGGGACUGAGACACGGCCCAGACUCCUACGGGAGGCAGCAGUGGGGAAUAUUGGACAAUGGGGGGAACCCUGAUCCAGCAAUGCCGCGUGAGUGAUGAAGGCCUUAGGGUUGUAAAGCUCUUUUACCCGAGAUGAUAAUGACAGUAUCGGGAGAAUAAGCUCCGGCUAACUCCGUGC
rnacentral:rRNA from 1 species